CAGUAAGUCACGUUCUGCGACGAAGAGAUUAGGCGUUCCCUUCGGGGACAGAAUGACAGGUGGUGCAUGGUUGUCGUCAGCUCGUGUCGUGAGAUGUUGGGUUAAGUCCCGCAACGAGCGCAACCCUUAUUACUAGUUGCCAGCAUUCAGUUGGGCACUCUAGUGAGACUGCCGGUGACAAACCGGAGGAAGGUGGGGACGACGUCAAAUCAUCAUGCCCCUUAUGACCUGGGCUACACACGUGCUACAAUGGAUGGUACAACGAGUCGCGAAACCGCGAGGUUUACCUAAUCUCUUAAAACCAUUCUCAGUUCGGACUGUAGGCUGCAACUCGCCUACACGAAGUCGGAAUCGCUAGUAAUCGCGGAUCAGCAUGCCGCGGUGAAUACGUUCCCGGGUCUUGUACACACCGA
rnacentral:rRNA from 1 species